UUCAAGAAUGGCUGCCGUGGUUAGUUGUAUAUGGCUCGUCUGCUUGCAAGUCAUGCUGUGCUCUUUGCAAUAGAUUUUUUACUUUUUCUGCAUUCUCUGUUCAUUCGUCAGUGUUGAUGUUUGACGCGUUAUAGGUCUCUUCAAUUUGUGAUUUCAAAUAAAAUGGGAAACGAAAGAAAACCAACAAGGAUUUACGACGACGUUGCAUCGACUUCACCUAGAAUCGCGCGAAUGAAUGAAGGUUCUAGAAAGUGCAAAGCACGUUCCAGUCCAAUACCAGAUGAUGGUUCACAUUCACCUCUAGUUGAGGUCGAUGACC